CAAAAAAUAGUUUAAUUAAAAUUUUAACUUUGGAAGUUAUAGAUGGGAAUGCCCCCUUUUUUGA
rnacentral:tRNA from 1 species